CUUUCAAGUAAUAUCCGGCUCUGAUACCAACUGUAAUGCCCCGCUUUCUAGGGGGUCACCCAUCCUAAGACUACUCUAACCCUAACACCCUUAACCCUCUAAACCUCUUGGCCUAAUCACCGCUCAACAUGGUAUAGCUAAGUUAAAAGAUUUAGCCCUAUUAUAUCUUAUAUAUAGAACUAUCUGGGUCUCACAUUAGUCCCCCAAAAAUU
rnacentral:lncRNA from 1 species